AGUGAACGCUGGCGGUAGGCCUAAUACAUGCAAGUCGAACGGCCGCACGGUAAGCGCUCGCCUCUACGGGUGGCGACUGGCGGGUGGGUGAGGCAUACAUCAGCUACCUCUUUUUCGUGGGUGACAUCGUAGAGAAACUUAUGCUAAUACCUCAUACUAUCUACCGCUGAAAGCAGGAGAUCUUCGCACCUUUCCUGUUUGAUUUAGAUGAGGUCGGAUUAGCUAGUUGGCGGGGUAACGUCACACCAAGGCAACGAUGCGUAGCUGAUCUGAGAGGAUGAUCGGCCACACUGGAACUGAGACACGGUCCAGACUCCUACGGGAGGCAGCAGUGGGGAAUAUUGGACAAUGGGCGAAAGCCUGAUCCAGCCAUACCGCGUGAGUGAAGAAGGCCUUCGGAUUGUAAAACCCUGUUGUUAGGAAAGAAAAUCAGCAUGAGAAUACCUCGCUAUUCUGACGGUACCUAAAGAAAAAGCAACGGCUAACUUCGUG
rnacentral:rRNA from 1 species